CGUGUAGGUGGUUUGGUAAGUAGGGCGUGAAAGCUCCCGGCUCAACUGGGAGAGGUCGUUCUAAACUGCCGAGCUAGAGGAUGGUAGAGGGAGGUGGAAUUCCGGGUGUAGCGGUGGAAUGCGCAGAUAUCCGGAGGAACACCAGUGGCGAAAGCGGCCUCCUGGACCAUUCCUGACACUCAGACGCGAAAGCUAGAGUAAGCAAACG
rnacentral:rRNA from 1 species